UUCUAAGAGUAUAGUAUGAAUGUGUCGUGGAACGUAACAUGGCAGCUGAAAACGUCAACCUCUGUUUUCAAACGUCUCACUGCAGUCCUGUGUGUGACAGUCUUUAACAAAGUAAUACGCUAAUACACAUUAAUAGAACACAUACUGUGGCAUGACACAAAUUCAUGUUGAAUGACUCAAAAUAUGCAGAUCAUAGCUUAAGUUUUUGUUAGGUUUGAGGGACACUUUGCUGGACUGUAAGAGGAGACGUUAAGUCUCAGUCCCUCCAACAGGAGACGAUUAAGUCUCUCAGUCCCUCCAACAGGAGACGAUUAAGUCUCUCAGUCCCUCCAACAGGAGACGUUAAGUCUCUCAGUCCCUCCAACAGCAGACGGUAAGUCUGUUAUUCCCUCCAACAGGAGUCUUAAGUCUCUCAGUCCCUCCAACAGGAGUCUUAAGUCUCUCAGUACCAUCAUUCUGUGAUUUUGUUUCAAUCUGGAAGUGUGUGUGUGUGCUUGUGUGAGCAGGGAAAAAAGCAGAACCCAACUCUGUUUCACUCUCUCUCACACACACGAUUUCUCCUUAUCUUCCUCACUCUCUAGAAGGACUUCCUGCCUGGUAUGUGCAGCUCUCCCUCAUCCUCCCGCUCUUUUGCUCUCCAGCUCUCCCAAUACAGGCACCAUUAACCUAACCUACCAGUUAGUAGUUUCAAAGCUCACCCACUUUCUAUGCAAGUACCAGACACGCAGCCAAAGCUCUUCUGCUCUCCAUCACUCUCAGUACAAGCACCAGUCCAUAGCGCCAAAGCUCUCCCACUCUCUCCCACUACAAGCACCCGACAUCCAUCCAAAGGUCUCCCUCUCUUUCACAAGUACCAGAGACACAGCGAAAGCUCUUUCACUCCCUCUCCAAAUCUAAUCAAAGUGUAUUGGUCACGUACUGUACACACGGUACAGUGAAAUGCUUGCUUGCUAACUCUCUUCAACAAUGCUGUACAAUAAUGAUAUCUGUCAAGAGUCAAAUGCCAAAUACAAAAGUCCAAAAAUAACAAAUGGAAACAAACAAUAGAAGAAGAACGAGUACGGAGUAUACUAGUAUGAGAAGUCUGUACAUAAUAGAAUGUAAAAUAGAUGUAGCAAAAUGAAGACUGUUAUACGAAUAGAAGAGUCCUUCCACCAAUCAGAUGUCUUUUGAGUAGUGUACCUUGGUGAAAAAACAUACCGUCAUAAAGAGCACAUUUAACUUACUAGAAAACUUGUUUUCCCAUCAUUUUUAAAUGGACUAUAGCUAGUGCCUGUUAAGU
rnacentral:lncRNA from 13 species